rnacentral:rRNA from 1 species
UACGGAAGGCAGCAGUGGGGAAUAUUGCACAAUGGGCGCAAGCCUGAUGCAGCCAUGCCGCGUGUAUGAAGAAGGCCUUCGGGUUGUAAAGUACUUUCAGUCGUGAGGAAGGUGUUAAGGUUAAUAACCUUAGCAAUUGACGUUAGCGACAGAAGAAGCACCGGCUAACUCCGUGCCAGCAGCCGCGGUAAUACGGAGGGUGCGAGCGUUAAUCGGAAUUACUGGGCGUAAAGGGCACGCAGGCGGUUAAUUAAGUUGGAUGUGAAAUCCCCGGGCUUAACCUGGGAAUGGCAUUCAAGACUGGUUAGCUAGAGUCUUGUAGAGGGGGUAGAAUUCCGAUGUGUAGCGGUGAAAUGCGUAGAGAUGUGGAGGAAUACCGGGUGGCGAAGGCGGCCCCUGGGACAAAGACUGACGCUCAUGUGCGAAAGCGUGGGGAGCAAACGAGG